UAAGGCUGGUGAAGAUUAUUUCUCGAUC
rnacentral:piRNA from 1 species